UGCAGCCCUUCAUCCCAUUCCCUGACUGGUGAGCCUGAAUUCCCUGCCUGGCAACAGAUGGGAUGCCAAUUUAUUUUUAGCAGUUUGUUUGCUUUGAUUGAACCUUUAAACAGUAUCCUGCCUUUAAGUCCUUGAGUUACCUUGGGGGCUAACAAGCUAGCCUGAGCUUCUCUGCACAAGGAAAUUCAGAAGAGAAACUACCUGUGAUGAGCAACUAUCCCAGCUGCAUAGAAACAAUGUUUUACUCUUCAUCUGGGGGACCUGGGGCACAAAUCCCUGCAAAAAACUCCUUGGAGGACCCUCUAAUGCUUUCUGUAAUGAGGGGAACAGGGAGCGCUUCUUGUCAUCGGCUACGACUGCAUCAAGAACAAAGUAUCACCCUCAUGUUCCACUGAAAAGGUCUUAAUGAAGCUCUGCCUGUUUCUGAGAAGCCUAAACCCCUUUGUGCUCAUUCCAGCAUUGAGCUGUGUACAAAACACCAGCCUUACCAAGGCUCUCUCUUGGGCCUGGCUAGAAAAUGAAUCUCUUUUAUUAAAAAUAUUUAACUUCUGGUCUCCUUUCA